UGGGGAAUUUUGGACAAUGGGGGAAACCCUGAUCCAGCCAUCCCGCGUGUGCGAUGAAGGCCUUCGGGUUGUAAAGCACUUUUGGCAGGAAAGAAACGUCGCGGGUUAAUACCCCGCGAAACUGACGGUACCUGCAGAAUAAGCACCGGCUAACUACGUGCCAGCAGCCGCGGUAAUACGUAGGGUGCAAGCGUUAAUCGGAAUUACUGGGCGUAAAGCGUGCGCAGGCGGUUCGGAAAGAAAGAUGUGAAAUCCCAGAGCUUAACUUUGGAACUGCAUUUUUAACUACCGGGCUAGAGUGUGUCAGAGGGAGGUGGAAUUCCGCGUGUAGCAGUGAAAUGCGUAGNUAUGCGGAGGAACACCGAUGGCGAAGGCAGCCUCCUGGGAUAACACUGACGCUCAUGCACGAAAGCGUGGGGAGCAAACAGGAUUAGAUACCCUGGUAGUCCACGCCCUAAACGAUGUCAACUAGCUGUUGGGGCCUUCGGGCCUUGGUAGCGCAGCUAACGCGUGAAGUUGACCGCCUGGGGAGUACGGUCGCAAGAUUAAAACUUAAAGGAAUUG
rnacentral:rRNA from 1 species